AGAGUUUGAUCCUGGCUCAGAAUCAACGCUGGCGGCGUGCCUCAGACAUGCAAGUCGAACGAUUAAAGCUCUCUUCGGAGGGUGUAUAGAGUGGCGCACGGGUGAGUAACACGUAAGUAAUCUACCUUUGAGUGGGGAAUAACAGUCGGAAACGACUGCUAAUACCGCAUAAUGCAGCGGCAUCGCAAGAUGACAGUUGUUAAAGAUCUAUCGCUUGAAGAGGAGCUUGCGGCAGAUUAGCUAGUUGGUAAGGUAAUGGCUUACCAAGGCUACGAUCUGUAACCGGUCUAAGAGGACGGUCGGUCACACUGACACUGAAUAACGGGUCAGACUCCUACGGGAGGCAGCAGUCGGGAAUUUUGGGCAAUGGGCGAAAGCCUGACCCAGCAACGCCGCGUGAAGGAUGAAGUAUUUCGGUAUGUAAACUUCGAAAGAAUGGGAAGAAUAAAUGACGGUACCAUUUAUAAGGUCCGGCUAACUACGUGCCAGCAGCCGCGGUAAUACGUAGGGACCAAGCGUUGUUCGGAUUUACUGGGCGUAAAGGGCGCGUAGGCGGCUUGACAAGUCACUUGUGAAAUCUCCGGGCUUAACUCGGAACGGCCAAGUGAAACUGUCAUGCUAGAGUGCAGAAGGGGCAAUCGGAAUUCUUGGUGUAGCGGUGAAAUGCGUAGAUAUCAAGAGGAACACCUGAGGUGAAGACGGGUUGCUGGGCUGACACUGACGCUGAGGCGCGAAAGCCAGGGGAGCAAACGGGAUUAGAUACCCCGGUAGUCC
rnacentral:rRNA from 1 species